AACGAACGCUGGCGGCAUGCCUAACACAUGCAAGUCGAACGAGACCUUCGGGUCUAUUGGCGCACGGGUGCGUAACGCGUGGGAACCUGCCCUUAGGUUCGGAAUAACUCCCCGAAAGGGGUGCUAAUACCGGAUAAUGUCUUCGGACCAAAGAUUUAUCGCCUUUGGAUGGGCCCGCGUUGGAUUAGCUAGUUGGUAGGGUAAAAGCCUACCAAGGCCACGAUCCAUAGCUGGUCUGAGAGGAUGAUCAGCCACACUGGGACUGAGACACGGCCCAGACUCCUACGGGAGGCAGCAGUGGGGAAUAUUGGACAAUGGGCGAAAGCCUGAUCCAGCAAUGCCGCGUGAGUGAUGAAGGCCUUAGGGUUGUAAAGCUCUUUUACCCGGGAUGAUAAUGACAGUACCGGGAGAAUAAGCUCCGGCUAACUCCGUG
rnacentral:rRNA from 1 species